GAUGAACGCUGGCGGCGUGCCUAAUGCAUGCAAGUCGAGCGAACGGACGAGAAACUUGCUUUUCUGAUGUUAGCGGCGGACGGGUGAGUAACACGUGGAUAACCUACCUAUAAGACUGGGAUAACUUCGGGAAACCGGAGCUCAUACCGGAUAAUCUUUUGAACCGCAUGGUUCAAAAGUGAAAGACGGUCUUGCUGUCACUUAUGGAUGGAUCCGCGCUGCAUUAGCUAGUUGGUAAGGUAACGGCUUACCAAGGCAACGAUGCAUAGCCGACCUGAGAGGGUGAUCGGCCACACGGGAACUGAGACACGGUCCUGACUCCUACGGGAGGCAGCAGUAGGGAAUCUUCCGCAAUGGGCGAAGGCCUGACGGAGCAACGCCGCGGGAGUGAUGAAGGUCUUCGGAUCGUAAAACUCGGUUAUUAGGGAAGAACAUAUGUGUAAGUAACUGUGCACGUAUUGACGGUACCUAAUCAGAAAGCCACGGCUAACUACGUG
rnacentral:rRNA from 1 species